GUAAGCGUGUUGAGAAAUUAGCACGUAGACAACGGCUAGACCGUUGCAAUAUACUACUUGAAUUGCUGGAAAUCCGUAAAGCUUGACUCACUACAACGUAAGUUUGAAAUAGAACUAAACGUGAAUGUUACGAAAGUAGAAAGAAGUAGUCAAGAUGACCCAAGGUUAAAUCCUAAAGGUUACAAACAAUCGGNAAUCAGCAGCGAAGCCCCAUCGGUAUUUUUCUCUUCAAAGAGGAGAGCAAAAUAUUAAGGGGAACGUUCAACGACUAGACCUCUUGAGGGUCGUACACCAUAAGUGAUUGAUGGUGGAAGUGGGUAGCCCCUAACAGCAAUAUAUAGACUCUUCUAAAGAGGAGAAAAUAAAUUGGCUGAGGGAGAAGAUAUAGUCUGUGCUUUAUGGAAACAUAAAG
rnacentral:ncRNA from 1 species